GACGAACGCUGGCGGCGUGCCUAAUACAUGCCAGUAGAACGCUGAAGAGAGGAGCUUGCUCUUCUUGGAUGAGUUGCGAACGGGUGAGUAACGCGUAGGUAACCUGCCUGGUAGCGGGGGAUAACUAUUGGAAACGAUAGCUAAUACCGCAUAAAAUGGAUUAUCGCAUGAUAAUCCAUUGAAAGGUGCAAAUGCAUCACUACCAGAUGGACCUGCGUUGUAUUAGCUAGUUGGUGGGGUAACGGCUCACCAAGGCGACGAUACAUAGCCGACCUGAGAGGGUGAUCGGCCACACUGGGACUGGGACACGGCCCAGACUCCUACGGGAGGCAGCAGUAGGGAAUCUUCGGCAAUGGACGGAAGGCUGACCGAGCAACGCCGCGUGAGUGAAGAAGGUUUUCGGAUCGUAAAGCUCUGUUGUAAGAGAAGAACGAGUGUGAGAGUGGAAAGUUCACACUGUGACGGUAUCUUACCAGAAAGGGACGGCUAACUACGUG
rnacentral:rRNA from 1 species